GACCUAUUGGUGCAGAUGGCAGCGCACCCACCAUAAUCUGAGAGCUUUUGGCUCGAAGAACUAUGUGGGAGGCCCUAGUUCGACUCUGGGAUGGGUCA